CUCUGUCAUCCAUGGCUUUAUGGACCUUGUGAUAUAUGGGGUGAUCGCAUCUUUCUGCGGGGUUCGUUCUCCAGUGAUGCAGACGGACGACACCGGACAAGGUGUGCAGGUAGGAACAUGAUUUAAUCUUCAAAAAUCUAAUACGUACCAAAAACAGAAAACAAGCAGAAGGGAAACUACAGUCUCCGUUCUAAUUCAUACCAAAGGUGUUCUAUCGGAGUUCAGGUCAGGACUCUGUGCAAGCCAGUCAAGUUCAUCCCACACCAGACUAUGUCAUCCAUGUUUUUAUGGUCCUUGUGUUACAUGUGGGGGGUCGCAUUUUUCUGCGAGGUUCGUUCUCCAGUGAUGCAGACGGACUACUCCGGUCAAGGCGUGCAGGUGAGGGGCCGCAUCUUUCUGCAGCGUUCGUUCCUCCAGUGAUGCAGACGGAAGACUCCGGACAAGGCGCGCAGGUGGGGGGCCGCAUCUUUCUGCAGGGUUUCGUUCUCCAGUGAUGCAGACGGACUACUCUGGACGAGGCGCGCAGGUAGGAACAUGAUCUUAUCUUCGAAAAUCAAAUAUGAACCAGAAACAGAAAACGAGCAGAAAGAAAACGUGCCGAUCGCACGUAGGAACAUGAUCUAAUCUUCGAAAAUCAAAUACGAACUAAAAACAGAAAACAAGCAGAAGGAAAACUACAGUCUCUGUUCUAAUUCAUACCAAAGGUGUUCUAUCGGAGUUCAGGUAAGGACUCUGUGCAGGCCAGUCAAGUUCAUCCCACACCAGACUCUGUCAUCCAUGUCUUUAUGGACCUUGUGUUACAUGGGGGGGGAUCGCAUCUUUCUGCGGGGUUCGUUCUCCAGUGAUGCAGACGGACGACUCC